ensembl:lncRNA
CACCUCACCUCACGUGCCGCGCGCAAGAAAUCCGGUAGCGAAGAAGAGAAGGAGAAUUUGCUAACAAAUAUGCCGGAGGAACACAAACGAAAACGAAUCGACAACAUGAAUGUGGUAGAUCAUCUAUUGGAGCACAGAUUUGAGACCCUUAGUCUGGAGGAAAAAUUAGAGGAAUCCAUCUGUGCCGCCCAGUUGAUCACGAGGACGAGGGCUUGGGUCGGCUGGCCCACAAGAUGCAGGUCUUGGUGGACCUCGCGCCGACUGCUGCCAGCCACCGCCGCUAGCAGACCGGAGCCGCUAGGGGCGGACAGGCUGAGCACUGCUCCGUCCUUCUCUUAGCUCCAUGUCCUCCACCACCGCUAGCAGACCGGAGCCGCUAGGGGCGGACAGGCUGAGCACUGCUCCAUCCUCCUCUUAGCUCCAUGUCCUCCACCGCCGCUAGCAGACCGGAGCCGCUAGGGGCGGACAGGCUGAGCACUGCUCCAUCCUCCUCUUAGCUCCAUGUCCUCCACCGCCGCUAGCAGACCGGAGCCGCUAGGGGCGGACAGGCUGAGCACUGCUCCAUCCUCCUCUUAGCUCCAUGUCCUCCACCACCGCUAGCAGACAGGAGCCGCUAGGGGCGGACAGGCUGAGCACUGCUCCAUCCUCCUCUUAGCUCCAUGUCCUCCACCGCCGCUAGC